rnacentral:misc_RNA from 1 species
GAUGAAGAACGUAGUGAAAUGCGAUAAGUAGUGUGAAUUGCAGAAUUCAGUGAAUCAUCGAAUCUUUGAACGCACAUUGCGCCCACUGGUAUUCCGGUGGGCAUGCCUGUUCGAGCGUCAUUAUCCUCCCUCAAACCCCGGGUUUGGUGUUGGACCCAAGUUGUGUGAACAACUGGUCUUAAAGACAAUGACGGCGUCCGUGGGACCCUCGGUGCAACGAGCUUUUAGGAGCACGCAUCGAGUUGCAAGGACCUUCCGGGCCGGUCUCCUUUACUAUUUUACAAGGUUGACCUCGGAUCAGGUAGGAAUACCCGCUGAACUUAAGCAUAUCAAUAAGCGGAGGA